rnacentral:tRNA from 1 species
AGAAACUUAGGAUAGUACAAGACCAAGGACCUUCAAAGUCCUAAGCGGGAGUGAAAAUCUCUCAGUUUCUG